ensembl:lncRNA
AUAUGUUUGUCUUAAAGAGGCCUGCCACAAAGCCCCCAGUCGUAUGUAGGAAUAGGAAGUAGUAUGUAAUCUCUGGUGCACAAUGGGUUGCGUGCCUUGAAAAUAUGAUACUCAAGCAACAAGAGAGAAAUGUUAAUCAUUUAUUGCUCAAACUUAUCUUUUGCAAACAACACUAAGCAGAAAUGGUCAAUUAUUGAACAGUGACCACUCAACUGUUGGGUAGAAGGACUGCCUGUUAGUGUAAAGAACUGCUGAGAAAUCUCUUAGCUCAUUGGGAAAUGGGGAAAAUGGCAAAGCUCUUGGAGAGAAAGUGUUCUUGUUCAUUUCUCUUUCUCUCCCUCUGCACUGAAGGUUCGAGCAAGUAAUGCCAGUCAUUUUUGAUUCCUUGACUUCCUUCCAUAGAUGCUGUGCCCGGAAUUCUGGCUAAUUUCAACGCCAAUCACCAGCGCUGUUCUAUUCCAUUGCUCUGCCUGCUUGUGCGCCCACAUAGUGAGCUUAAAUGACUUCUAAUGAGGUUAAAUGAGGAAGGCUCAGGCUGUUCAUUUCAGAAUGAAGCACACGAGGCAGAUCUGGGAAAUACGCUCAAUUCUGAAAAGAGCUGAAAGCAGCAGUAAAUCACCUUAGAGGCAUCUGCCCUAGGCAAGCAUAAGAGAACAAUAUUUCUAGAGGGAGGAAGAUAUAAAGAAAAGUCCAUAAAGCCAGGUGCAACCGCUUUCAAAAAGUUAGCUGCAACAAGAGCUGAACUUUGCAAAGGAAGUGCCAAAUCAUGCAAUGCCUUAUGAUGCUUUCCAUGCAGUAGAGGGAAAGGAUGUGUGUCCAUGUCUUCCCCUCCAUUGUGUGGAAGUCCUCAGCUGCUGUAGUGUGAACAGACAAGCCUCAAGCUUGCCAGCCUGCUGCCAAGAGGUGAAGUCAUGCCUUUAGUCACCAGAGGUUCUGUGACAUAACUGUGUGAGGCAGAAUGAAGGAACAAAGGCUAUUAUUAUGACUCAGGAAAUGUCAUGGUACAGCUUUUGGAAAUGAAACUGACCCAUCCAUGGCGUGACAAUGACUCUGUAAACCUGGGAGACGAGACCGUGGCUUCCUGCUGGCAUACAGAUGAGGUGGGAAGACAGAAGAGGAAAGGAUGGCACAAGAAGAAAGACAUGCAGGGGAGGGGAGGGGAAAAAACCCAAUCACGCCAAGGAAUCAACAAAAAGGAAACUAAGGGAGGAGAUCAAAUAGCAAUAGGAAAACAAAUUCUGUUCUGAGAAAAAGCAGGGGGGGCGGUUAGCUCAGGGCAGAAAUUUAUAAUUCUGGGGCUAUAGUGUUAACAUGUUAGUGUUUGUUUUUUAGUAACUGUUGAGUGGCUUAGAUUAUUAGUAUAACAGUAAUAUCAGUGUUGUGUGUGCAGCCAAUUGUGCUCUUGUUUGAAGAGACGGAUAAUAUACCAAACGAGACAGUGGUCUUGUUCCCAUGUCUCCCUGGCUACAUCUACUGACUCUCCUUAAAAACACUGCAAAGUGCUCAGAGCAUGUGUUGAAAUGGUCAGUAACAAGCACAAACAUUCUUCUUACCCAGAAGUAAGCCACUGUGAGUUGCAAACUAAGUUAUGAUGGUGGGGGUGAAACUCGGGUGUAUGUAAUCCUUUCAGAGCAGAGGUUCAAUCUAUCACAGAUUUAGAAUUCUUCUGGAAAACAAUAGCAUUAAAAUGAAGACAAGCAGCUGCUUGGCAAGUGAAGCUAGUUCUUGCUCCAUGACUUGUGUGGGUUAGCUGAUCAGAGAAAAAGAGGAAAGAGGGAAAAUUAAAGGGUGUAACACUUUAGGAAAUUGUGCUGAAAGAUAACGGUACUAUUCAUUUCCAAGACUUAUCCAUUAUAAUAAUUACCCAUGCUGCAAUCAAGAAGGAAAAGUAUUUGCCCCUGCUUCCUAAUUUCAAAGCUGUUAUAAUGAUUAUUCCUCGGGCAUUUAUACCACUUAGCAUAUAUCGGGCUAACAUUU